UAAUACGUAGGGUGCAAGCGUUGUCCGGAAUUAUUGGGCGUAAAGAGCUCGUAGGCGGUUUGUCGCGUCGAAUGUGAAAACCCGGGGCUCAACCCCGGGCCUGCAUUCGAUACGGGCAGACUAGAGUUCGGUAGGGGAGUCUGGAAUUCCUGGUGUAGCGGUGAAAUGCGCAGAUAUCAGGAGGAACACCGGUGGCGAAGGCGGGACUCUGGGCCGAUACUGACGCUGAGGAGCGAAAGCGUGGGGAGCAAACAGGAUUAGAUACCCUGGUAGUCCACGCCGUAAACGUUGGGCGCUAGGUGUGGGGUUCCUUCCACGAACUCCGUGCCGCAGCUAACGCAUUAAGCGCCCCGCCUGGGGAGUACGGCCGCAAGGCUA
rnacentral:rRNA from 1 species